rnacentral:rRNA from 1 species
GACGAACGCUAGCGGCGCGCCUAACACAUGCAAGUCGAACGAGAUCCAUCUUGUAGCAAUACUUGGGACGAUCUAGUGGCGAACGGGUGAGUAACACGUGAGAAACCUGCCCCGAAGACCGGGACAACCCAGGGAAACUUGGACUAAUACCGGAUACCUUCUUUCCAUCUCAUGUUGGAAUGAAGAAAUGUUUUUCGCUUUGGGAGGGUCUCGCGGCCUAUCAGCUAGUUGGUGAGGUAACGGCUCACCAAGGCAUCGACGGGUAGCUGGUCUGAGAGGACGAUCAGCCACACUGGGACUGAGACACGGCCCAGACUCCUACGGGAGGCAGCAGUGGGGAAUCUUGCGCAAUGGGCGAAAGCCUGACGCAGCGACGCCGCGUGGGGGAUGACAGCUCUAGGGUUGUAAACCCCUUUCGACAGGGACGAAAUUGACGGUACCUGUAGAAGAAGGUCCGGCCAACUACG